rnacentral:rRNA from 1 species
GAGGAAUAUUGGUCAAUGGACGGAAGUCUGAACCAGCCAAGUAGCGUGCAGGAAGACGGCCCUAUGGGUUGUAAACUGCUUUUGUAUGGGGAUAAAGUCAAUCACGUGUGAUUGUUUGCAGGUACCAUACGAAUAAGGACCGGCUAAUUCCGUGCCAGCAGCCGCGGUAAUACGGAAGGUUCGGGCGUUAUCCGGAUUUAUUGGGUUUAAAGGGAGCGUAGGCCGGAGAUUAAGUGUGUUGUGAAAUGUAGACGCUCAACGUCUGACUUGCAGCGCAUACUGGUUUCCUUGAGUACGCACAACGUUGGCGGAAUUCGUCGUGUAGCGGUGAAAUGCUUAGAUAUGACGAAGAACUCCGAUUGCGAAGGCAGCUGACGGGAGCGCAACUGACGCUUAAGCUCGAAGGUGCGGGUAUCGAACAGGAUUAGAUACCCUGGUAGUCCGCACAGUAAACGAUGGAUGCCCGCUGUUGGUACCUGGUAUCAGCGGCUAAGCGAAAGCAUUAAGCAUCCCACCUGGGGAGUACGCCGGCAACGGUG